GGGGUUGUAGUUCAAUUGGUUAGAGCACUUGCUUGUCACGUAAGAUGUUGCGGGUUCGAGUCCCGUCAGCCCCG
rnacentral:tRNA from 1 species